rnacentral:rRNA from 1 species
AUUUACAGCCCUAUCAUCCUGCAGCCCAAGAUCAGUUACUCACUGAAGCUGAGCAGGGUUGAGUCUGGUCAGUACCUGGAUGGAAGACCACAUGGGAAAACUAGUUUGCUGUUAGAA